GCUACAGACGAAAGGGGCUUUCCGGAACGUGCGCGUUUUGGGAGGCCUUUUUCUAUUGCGGGUCUGUCCGUCUCCUUAU
rnacentral:antisense_RNA from 1 species